rnacentral:lncRNA from 1 species
AUGGAUUUGGAUGGAAGACCAAAAUUGAGAACCUCUAAGUAUCUACACCAAGGUUAGAUUGGAGAAGAAAUGAGUGACCUUGGAGGAGUAGUAUUGCUAGCUAAUCCCUCCAAGGGGGCCGGCCUCUUUAGAGAGAAAGGGAGAGACAUGUUCUCUCCAAUUUUCUCCAAAAGAAACCCUUAAUGAAUUUAGGCUAUAAAGUCCUUUAUAUAGUCCCUUCAAAUAAGUGACCUAAAGAACCAAAAAACCAUUCUCUCUAACAUGGCCGGC